UACGUAGGCAGCGAGCGUUGUUCGGAGUUACUGGGCGUAAAGGGUGUGUAGGCGGUUGUUUAAGUUUGGUGGGAAAUCUCCCGGCUCAACUGGGAGGGUGCGCCGAAUACUGAACGACUAGAGUGCGGGAGAGGAAAGUGGAAUUCCUGGUGUAGCGGUGAAAUGCGUAGAUAUCAGGAGGAACACCAAUUGCGAAGGCAGCUCGCUGGGACGUAACUGACGCUGAGACGCGAAAGCGUGGGGAGCAAACAGG
rnacentral:rRNA from 1 species